AUGAAUAUCCCAAAGUCUUAAGAAGGACUGCAUUCCACGGCAGUUUAUCUCAUAAGUUAGUUACCUGGUCCAAUUUGGGAUGAAUUGUUAUUUCAGUGGCAAUAGAUUAUGAAAAGAACUAAAAAUACCUUGAGAAAAAAAAGUUAUAAACAGAUCUAAGCUGCAAGGCAAUCGUUAAAACUUACCUUUUUUGUCACAAGUGAUCACACUUGUCAGAAAGACUUUCUACUUUGCCCCAAACAACAAAUUUCUAGGGAGUGGAGUCACAAACUCCAUUGCCUCUGUAAGCCCUGGUGCCAUACGGCACUGUAACAGA
rnacentral:lncRNA from 1 species